ensembl:miRNA
AUCACCUGGGGAUCUUGACACCAAGUAUAUUCAGAUUCAGUAGGUGUAGGGUGGGAUUCUGCAUCUCUAACAAGCUCCCAGUUGAUGCCAAU